UGAGAAUCAACACAUAGAAAAGAGGAACUUGGACAUCAUCCAUUGGGCCAACUCUAACGUGAGUGUUGGAUCUCGGCUGCGGAGAAUCUACAACUCCGGGGCUGGACGCGUGCUUCUCGUCCAGUGGUUGGUAAGUACUUGCUGAACAACAGCUUGUAAUCGGGACUGUUCCUGGGAAACCACAAUGGUAUUCGUCGUACCAAAAAAAGCCUCCUACGUGACCCUUCCUUGUAGGGCAUUUAUAGUACCACCUUCCUGGGUUUUGAGCCUUCGGGCCGGCACACAUUAGUAACAUCCGUCCGCGCUUGCAACUAUAGUCCAGCGCAGGAUGCCUGUCCAUAUAUCUGAAACCAAAACAAUUUUGAUGCCCAUCAGUCUAAUAUUAAAGCACAAUGACACGAUUAAGCAUAUUCUACCGUAAAGCAUACACAACAAACUAUUCAUAUCCCCUGUUGAAGUUCUUUCUAUAUUACUGACAAGCACCAAUGAUAUCUAACAAGCAGCUCAUUAUCCAAGCAUAUAAACAGAAAACCCAUUAUAUUGAAAGCCUCACAUAUACAGCAAUCAGCAUACACAACUUCUAAUAAGGUCAAUAGCAAAUGUGUACAACCCAAACAACAAGACAAGGUUCAGUCUAAAAUAUGCAUGGAGGAAGCAGUUCAAAUGUUGUUCGCAUAAUUGUUCCACAUGGAUUGUGCAAUUGCAUCUCGCUCUGCAUUCCAGGCCGGAGAGGACUCGAUUACAUCGAUGAAAUCGCCCUCAAUCUCAGCAUCAUUCUGCUCAUUUGUGGCUGCGUUGUCAAACUCGUGUUCAAUUGGGUCGUCGGGCAUCUCCGCACGGAUGAAAUUAUUAAGAAUGAAACAAGCCAUGAUAAGCCGGACCUGAGUCUUCACGGGAUAAAAGGUUGCACUUCUCAAUAUCCCCCAACGCAUUUUCAUGAUUCCAAAGGCACGUUCAAUGACGUUUCGUGCCUUCGAAUGCCGUAGGUUGAAUAACUCCAUUGCAUUCUGCGGUCGGGCUGUGUUCGGUCCCCAUUCCUUAAGAUGGUAUCGUACACCCUUGUACGGAGUUAAAAACCCCUCGCUGUUGGCGUACCCGUUGUCUGCUAGAUAAUAGUUUCCUGUUUCAUUACCAAUUCUGCUCUGUCAGAAUUCAGGAGCAAUUAAUUUCCAAAGUACAUAGAAGUUGUGUGAUAACAAAGAGUAAUACCUUUAGGCACUCUCAGCCCAUUAACUCGUACGAGGGCAUCGCGCAAUAUUCUCGAAUCAGCUGCCGAACCCUCCCAACCAGGCAAAGCGUAGACGAACUUCAUAUUACGAUCACAAACAGCGAGUGUGUUAGUAGAAAUCUGCCCUUUCCGUGUCCGGUACCUAGGCUUGUCAGCAUUGCUCACCAUGACGUUUAUAUACGUGCCAUCAAGAGCACCCAAACAGCCCUACGUAGUAGAAUUAACAUAACUCUCAAGGCAUUUGAAACUUAAGAUGAGUAGGCAGAAUAAUUGAACCUAAAAUAUGAAGAAAAGUAUGAAAAUGAGUUACCUUGAACCAUCGCCAUCUGCUAUCCGCACAAUCGUCUGGAACGGGAACGGGUUUGAUGAAUAAAACUUCGUGCAAUUUGAUAACUGCUUUCAGCACGAGAUGCACGAAUCUUGACACAGUUUGACCAGACCGGAUGAAAUCGAACCUAACAACCCUAUUUUUUUGUGGUGUGCUAGAAUGGAUAAAAACAUUGCCACUUGCUCUUCGACCUUAAUGUACCUUCCAUCCGUUAACCCCCCUAACUCACGUAGCAAAGUACAUAGACGACCGAAUGUGUUGCGGUCCAUACGUAAGUUCGACAGACAAUCGACAUCACUAACACCCACAAGCCUAUUCAUAUGCAUGGUUUGAGCAGGAAUACGUUCAAUAAUACCAAAAGCAGGCAGGUCGGAACCCCUCUUUCGUUUGCGUGACGCUAUCCUAACCAUAAUGUGGUAAGCUACCAAUAAUAAAACCAACUUUUGACAGAGAAGUUGCUCUUCCAUCAACAAGUAUAUACACAGGGUUUCAACGUCGUCUGUCGGCAUUAUGAUUCACUACAAACAAACGCAGAACACGAGUCUGCAAACGAAUGACAACUUUUACCCCAAAGCAAUACAGACGAAUAACGUGUAAUUCAAACUGAAGACAGUUCAUAUACUCUGCAUGUGCCAUAAUACCCAAAUUCAAAAACUACCAACAAAUUUCUCAUAAUUGGGUAAUUUCCCAAAUGGCAAACUUCAGGAGCAUACAAAUUCAAUAUCAUAUUCAAAUCACACAUAGUUCUUCAAUCACCAAAAAAACUGACACGAUAUUUGUUAAUACUCAAAGACACACUUGGAAAUAACAGCAAUUCAUUGUUAACAAUAUUCUGCCGAUCACAAUUGCAUACCGCAUUCAUAUAUAAAAUUAUCGCAGCCAGACACCUCAUAGACUAACGACAUAAGAAUCGUAUAAGAAAUAGUCACAGCAAUUCACGACAGGAGCAUGAGCAGUUUUUCUAUUCACGAUGGGUAUGAAAUAGGUGUAAGUACCUUGAUCUGUUUUGGUGGAGAUGAAACCCUCGCCCAACGAAAACAGCCUGCACAAGCACAAGACCACCAAUCCAGGUCCAGGACACACCUAAGUUCAAAAGGUUUUAAAAAUCCAAAAAUUAGAAAUAGUCACCACAAUUCAGUUUGUUGCCCAUAUCAAAAAGUCAAACUGAAGAAGAAGAACAAGAGUGAAAGAUUAAAAUGCUAGAAGAGCUGUCAAAUAUUAAGCUACAACACAAUGUUCUGGUAAAUCUACGAAUCUCAUUUUGCCAUUCAUAUUUCAAGCUGCAAGCUAGGCUUAGGAAUCUGCUGGACCAAUUGAAUUCUUACAAACACAGAACACAAAUUUGCAGCAGACGUCCAAGAAAAAAAAGAAAAAAAAAAUAAAAAACAAAAGGGAAUGGUCUAACAAAUAACACCUAAAGCUCAACCUCUUCGAAAUUUGAUUUCACCCAGCAUUUGUUUUUGUGGUAUUUAACAGAGGGACCAAUCAAAAAAAUACUGGAACUAAAUUCCCCAAAUCUGAUUUCAAAAUUUUCAAAUAUCGAAAUACAUCACCUGCGACGCACUCGACGUUUUUCUCCCGGCGAAUUCUUGAAGAACUGUUGCCCACUAUGACACAGAAAUGGCGCAGUAAGGCGACAAUUCACGAAGCCUUCGAUUUUGAAG
rnacentral:lncRNA from 1 species